GCUCCAUCCACCCGCUACUCCUAUGCAGUCGGCUUUUUGUCUUCACAACAUCUGCAAGUAAAACCAGAUCCCCUUCACCCUUGAACGGGGAGGGGGGGGGGGGGGAGGGGGGGGGGGGGAGGGGGGGGGGGGGGGGAGGGGGGGGGGGGGGAGGGGGGGGGGGGGGGGAGGGGGGGGGGGGGGGGAGGGGGGGGGGGGGAGGGGGGGGGGGGGAGGGGGGGGGGGGGAGGGGGGGGGGGGGAGGGGGGGGGGGGGAGGGGGGGGGGGGGAGGGGGGGGGGGGGAGGGGGGGGGGGGGGAGGGGGGGGGGGGGAGGGGGGGGGGGGGAGGGGGGGGGGGGGAGGGGGGGGGGGGGGGGGGGGAGGGGGGGGGGGGGGGAGGGGGGGGGGGGGGGGAGGGGGGGGGGGGGGAGGGGGGGGGGGGGAGGGGGGGGGGGGGAGGGGGGGGGGGGGAGGGGGGGGGGGGGGAGGGGGGGGGGGGGAGGGGGGGGGGGGGAGGGGGGGGGGGGGAGGGGGGGGGGGGGGGAGGGGGGGGGGGGGGGAGGGGGGGGGGGGGAGGGGGGGGGGGGGAGGGGGGGGGGGGGGAGGGGGGGGGGGGGGGGGAGGGGGGGGGGGGGGGAGGGGGGGGGGGGGGGGGAGGGGGGGGGGGGGAGGGGGGGGGGGGGGGAGGGGGGGGGGGGGGGAGGGGGGGGGGGGGAGGGGGGGGGGGGGAGGGGGGGGGGGGGAGGGGGGGGGGGGGAGGGGGGGGGGGGGAGGGGGGGGGGGGGGAGGGGGGGGGGGGGAGGGGGGGGGGGGGGAGGGGGGGGGGGGGAGGGGGGGGGGGGGGAGGGGGGGGGGGGGAGGGGGGGGGGGGGGGGAGGGGGGGGGGGGGAGGGGGGGGGGGGGGGGGGAGGGGGGGGGGGGGGAGGGGGGGGGGGGGGGAGGGGGGGGGGGGGAGGGGGGGGGGGGGGGGAGGGGGGGGGGGGGGGGGGGGGGAGGGGGGGGGGGGGGGAGGGGGGGGGGGGGAGGGGGGGGGGGGGGGGAGGGGGGGGGGGGGGGGGAGGGGGGGGGGGGGGAGGGGGGGGGGGGGGGGAGGGGGGGGGGGGGGGGGGAGGGGGGGGGGGGGGGGGGGGGGGGAGGGGGGGGGGGGGAGGGGGGGGGGGGGAGGGGGGGGGGGGGAGGGGGGGGGGGGGGAGGGGGGGGGGGGGGGAGGGGGGGGGGGGGAGGGGGGGGGGGGGGGGGAGGGGGGGGGGGGGAGGGGGGGGGGGGGGGGGGGAGGGGGGGGGGGGGGGGGGGGAGGGGGGGGGGGGGAGGGGGGGGGGGGGGGAGGGGGGGGGGGGGAGGGGGGGGGGGGGGGGGGGGAGGGGGGGGGGGGGAGGGGGGGGGGGGGGGGGAGGGGGGGGGGGGGGAGGGGGGGGGGGGGAGGGGGGGGGGGGGGGGGGGGGGGAGGGGGGGGGGGGGGAGGGGGGGGGGGGGGGGAGGGGGGGGGGGGGGGGGGGGAGGGGGGGGGGGGGGGAGGGGGGGGGGGGGGAGGGGGGGGGGGGGGGGGGGGGAGGGGGGGGGGGGGAGGGGGGGGGGGGGGGGGGGAGGGGGGGGGGGGGGGGGGGGGAGGGGGGGGGGGGGGAGGGGGGGGGGGGGAGGGGGGGGGGGGGAGGGGGGGGGGGGGAGGGGGGGGGGGGGAGGGGGGGGGGGGGGAGGGGGGGGGGGGGGGGGGGGGAGGGGGGGGGGGGGAGGGGGGGGGGGGGGGGGAGGGGGGGGGGGGGGGGGAGGGGGGGGGGGGGGGGGGGGAGGGGGGGGGGGGGGGAGGGGGGGGGGGGGGGGGGAGGGGGGGGGGGGGAGGGGGGGGGGGGGGGAGGGGGGGGGGGGGGAGGGGGGGGGGGGGGGAGGGGGGGGGGGGGAGGGGGGGGGGGGGAGGGGGGGGGGGGGGGGGGGGGGAGGGGGGGGGGGGGAGGGGGGGGGGGGGGAGGGGGGGGGGGGGGGGAGGGGGGGGGGGGGGAGGGGGGGGGGGGGGGGGGGGGGGGGGGGGGCAAAAGCUCUCUUCCAGCCUUGGAGAUUGAUUCGUCUCACAUCCAUGAGGGUGGCCUGCUCCACGAGCCAAGGGUUAUAUAUAUAUAUAUAUAAUAUAU
ensembl:lncRNA